UCUCACUCUCAGUCAAUCUCUCCCUCGCACGCUCUCACACUCUCAUGAACCUCAAUCCCUCAAUCCACCCUCAAUCCCUUUCACCCUCUCCAGUUCACACACACUCCCAUCCUCCUGCGAUUCCGGCAAAGCAAGUUUGGAUAGAAGCUUGAGGACUGAACCCCAACUCCAAAAUCAAGACCAGAGAAGCUUCGACUUUCAGGGUUGAUUUUAAAUAGGACCUACAGAAGAGACAUUUCAAAUCAUGAGAUCACAAUUUGGAUGGUCCUCACAUGUUGUCCUCAGAGCCUUCAAACUUAGG